CAAACUUUUGAUGGCGACCGGCGCACGGGUGAGUAACACGUAUCCAACCUGCCUCAUACUCGGGGAUAGCCUUUCGAAAGAAAGAUUAAUACCCGAUGUCAUGGUCCUACCGCAUGAUGGGAUUAUUAAAGAAUUUCGGUAUGGGGUGGGGAUGCGUUCCAUUAGUUAGUUGGCGGGGUAACGGCCCACCAAGACAACGAUGGAUAGGGGUUCUGAGAGGAAGGUCCCCCACAUUGGAACUGAGACACGGUCCAAACUCCUACGGAAGGCAGCAG
rnacentral:rRNA from 1 species